GGUGGCGUGGCCGAGUGGUCUAAGGCGUUGGAUUUAAGCUUCAGGUUAGCUGUUUCCCAAUGGACGUGAGUCCGCGCGAGUUCGAACCUCGCCGCCACCA